AGAGGUUUGGAACUUUUGUUGUCUCCAUUUCCCUAGAAAAUAGCGAUUUUAUAGUGGUUAGUCCACCAAUUUAGAAGUAUUAUGAAGUUUACUAUAUUAAUUGACAAAAAACUUAAAAUGAUGCCCAUGUACCAUGAAAAUGAGUUUAAUAUACAUUAAUACAAAUGUAGAAUGUGUUUAGAAAUUUUAAAACAACCCCAAAGAUCAUAUGCUUCAUUAUUAGAGUAUUUACCGAAAUAUUCAGUAUUUUCUUAGGGGUUAGCCCAUAGAUUUUGAGAAAAAUUUAAAAAUAUGAAAAUUUUGUUUUAAUGCAUAGUUGCAUCCUUCACUAACAUAUGAUGAAGGUCAAAGAGGUUUGGAACCUUUUUUGUCUCCGUGUUUCUAGAGAAUAGCUAUUUUAUAGUGGUUAGUCCACCAAUUUAGGGAGUAUUAUGAAGUUUUACUAAAUUAAUUGACAAAAAAUUAAAACGAUGCCCAUGUACCAUGAAA